GCCUCUGUCUCCUGAGUGCUGGGAUUAAAGACUUCAGUCACCACGGUUUAAUAAUUUUUUUUCUUAAAGGGUUGUCCUGGGGAGCAAAUGGGAAUCAAGAACUUAAGCAUACAGUAAUCUUGGCUAGGAACCAUUUCUCUCUCUCAUUCCCCGUAUUCCAGUGAUGUAGGAGAAAAGAGGCAAAGACAGUGUUCAUCUGAACUGUUUAUUGAAAGGCGAGGCAAGAUGGGGGAGGUGAGAAACAGGGAGAGUACAUCAUGCAGGGCUCAAAUGUGGUAGGGAUUUGUCUGAACCCUUUUCCUGUCCCGAGAAAGCCCUAAAGGCCAGCUGGUCUGCCACAAGAUCCUCUGCUGUCCUGGAGCGCCCUCUACUGUCAUACAAAAGGAAAUCUUUCUGCCCGGACAGUCCAUAGGAAGAAGGGGAUGGGGCUUCCAGGAUGGCACACUUAUUAGUAGGAUCAGAAUCAGGCCCAGUGGGCAUUGCUGUUUAGGGGCUGGACUUUGAGGGGCAAAGAUGUCCCACUUUUCCUAAUCCCUGAACCUUAUAUUUUUCAUUACCUUUCUUUGUGUGUGAUGUGUGGUGUGUGUGUGUGUGUGUGUGUGUGUGUGUGUGUCAAAGGACAAUUGGAGGGAGCCAGGCCUCUUCCACCUUGUAAGUCCCAGAUAUGGAACUCAGGUUGUCAGUCUUGCCAGGAAGGCCCUUCACUCACUGGACCAUUUCACCAGCCUGCAAGGGCGUUCUUAGUUGAGUUUACCCCUGUCUUGAGCAGAAGUGAGAUUGGAGCAUGAGACUUACUGGGGAGUGGGAGGGGGCCAUGAGGGUUCUGGAGAGACUGGCACUACGGUGCAGAAGAAGGGUAAUGGGCAAGGAGUACCCGGGGAAGUGUCUGAUUUCUCUAGCCUGCAGACUUAGGAGUCCCUUUGGGGCUGGCUGGUCUGCACAGAACAUUGCCCCAAAGGACUGGUGGGAGCCAAGAACCAAGACUGAUUGCUGACAUCAUGGAAGCCUGGGGACAGCUGCUCGGGCUCAUCUCUGAAGACCUCCACAGGGCUGUCAGCUUCGGUGACCAAGGGCUCUGCCUUGAUGUCCUGGUUCAGCCAACUGGAGGUGGCCAAGAAGAGGCAGACAGCCAGCAGGAUCCCCGCUGUCCCGCACAGCGUCGCGCCUGCCACGCGGCAGGUGAUCAGCGCUUGGUUAUAGUCGGCUAUUGGAUCAUCCAAAGAUGAGAACCUACUGACAUUAACCAGCUCUAGUUUGGGGGGUACUGCAUAGCCAGUGGUCAGGGCUGCCACACCGAGCAGGAGCAGCAGGGACGCCACGGACACGGUCACCUGAGGAGAGCAGACAGAACGGCAAGCAUCCAUGCUCAGCUGGGGUCCAGUCUCAUAGGAGCGUGAAAUGGGCCUCACAGAACAUCCCCGUAGGACCUAACUGACAGUGCUGGGGGCAGAGACCAGGACUUUGAACAUGUUAGGGGCAAACACUCUGCCACUGAGCUACAGCUUCAACCCCUUUUGAAUUUCAUUUUGAGACUAGGUCAUGACCGGAAUAGCCGAGAAUUGUCUAUAUAGCCCAAGAUGGCCUGGAGUCGGUCUUCUAAGUCCUGGAAUUGCAGACCAUCCAGCAGCUGGAAUGUGGCCCUGGAACUGGAGAGUUGGGCUGAGACCCAGACCUACGCUUCCUUGAUAUGACUUUAGCCAUAUGUACUGACCUCUCUGACCUUCUUUGUUUGCAAAAUAGGGUUAAUAAUGACAACUGUUUCAUCCAAGGGACUGAUGUGAUUAUUUUGGUGUUUUCUUCUUGAAAUUUAUUUAUUAGUACAUAAAAUAAAUUUAUUUAUUCA